rnacentral:tRNA from 1 species
UACUAUUAAACAGGGAUUUUGUAAAUCACACAAAUAAAAUAGUUU